GUCUUCGUGGCUCAGUUGGUUAGAGCGUCAGUCUCAUACUCUAUACGUAUGAUUCUCUUGGUAACGAGAGGAAACCCCCUAUCUGAAGGUCGCCAGUUCGAACCUGGCCGAGGACA